rnacentral:lncRNA from 1 species
GAUGUGUGAAGGUGCGGUACUGAUGCUGCUGGCGAACAAGCUGGACCUGGCAGACAGUCGCAGCAGAGAAGUGACAACAGACCAGGGGCAGAGACUAGCAGAGCAGCACCAAGCUAUGUUUUACGAGUGCAGUGCUAAAAGUGGAUGUAACAUGGAGCUGCUGAUGACUCAUCUGGCUGGGAUGUUAAUCUCCCAGCAUGAUCGACAAUGUGAAGAUGCAGUUUUACUGACUGAGGACGUGACUAAAAGAGGCUGCUGUACAUAAACACAACACUAAAAACUCCCAGGCCCAAAUCCUGUGGUCACAUAAAUCAUGGCAAGACACAAACGGUGACAUUUGAACAAGUUUGCUGAACAGUAUCUGUAAUGAUUGUUUAUUAU